AGCUAAUGUAAGCUUUAACUAAAGAUGUCAACUCCAUUUGUUUUCAGCUUUAAAGAGUUUCUGGAUCACAAUGUGCAGCAUUUAGAUGUAGCUCAAGAGAAACUGCAGCAAGGAAGAGGUUUACAUUAUCUCUUAUGGACCUGGUGUCUUCUAGAGUGAUCUGCCUGGCUUCAUUACAUUUGUUUGUCUUUCCCUCUCCAACUGAGCAGUGGGAUCUGAUUUUCCUGAAUUUGGCUGAAGAGACAAAUUAAAGUCUUCUUUGUUUAUAAUCAAA